rnacentral:rRNA from 1 species
UACGUAGGUGGCAAGCGUUGUCCGGAUUUAUUGGGCUUAAAGGGUGCGUAGGCGGCCCUGUAAGUCAGUGCUGAAAUAUCCCAGCUUAACUGGGAGGGUGGCAUUGAUACUGCGGGGCUAGAGUACAGAUGAGGUAGGCGGAAUUGACGGUGUAGCGGUGAAAUGCUUAGAUAUCGUCAAGAACACCUAUAGCGAAGGCAGCUUACUAGGCUGUAACUGACGCUGAGGCACGAAAGUGUGGGGAUCAAACAGG